AGGCUAUGGGAUCUCCUAUAUCCCUAUGCCGUUAGGGCUUAGGUGGGUGCGGUGGUAUCGAUUACUAAUUGGAGUCUGACUGGGUGCUUCAAUUGAGGUGCGGCGAAAAUCCAGCACAGAUUCAAGGGGCGAGUUGCGUCCGCGUGGCAGGUCCGCCUUCCACGUGGGGCGUGGGUCCUACGCAGCGGCCUGGAAACCCUAGGAUGCCGUGCCAUAAAGGAGCAGGUAGUGCGUCCCUCUUUAUAGGGGCGUGGCCCUGUAUUCACAGCCGGCAAACGCUGCUACUUCCUAUCAGACCGCAUGAACCCGUAAUGGGGGAUGGACUUAGGGGGGCACGCAUAUAGGUUAGGGUGCUUUCCUGGUCCUUCGGGGCUGGGCGGGCGGACCGGACAGUCGAUAACUGUGUCUGGCCCUCCGGGGCCUACCUUUUAUCCAGCAAUGGGCCUGACGAUACUGAAAGCGUGUUGGGGCUGGUAUCCUGGGACCUUCUCGUGGUGGCCCUGUUUAAACAGACCUUACCAGGAUAUUUGACCUGCUCAGUGAACAUGAAUCACAGAGUUACUUUGUCUUUUUUUUUUUAAUAGAUACUGGUUGUUUUAGAUCUUAACCAGUUGAUUGUAAAUUUUCAGGCUUUGCAAACCUGUUUUUCCCCCAAAAAUUUGUUGUUUCAACCCCCCCAAACCCCAGCAUAUUAUAGAACUCAUAUGAAAAUAAAAGAUCCUUUUUGCAUCACUCUGAGUAGUGUUGACUGAGCAGAUUGUUAGUGGCCUAGGCUGCAUGUAAAACGUUUAUAACCCUAAAACUCUUAAAUUUUCACAGGAUUGAGAAAAUUGUAUAUUCAUUGAAUGACUGGAAAUUGUGGCAGCAAUUUGUAAGUCAUGUUUAACAUGCAAACAUUGCAAUCAGUAAGGAUCUCAUAAAUUGCUAAUCUAUCUGUCCAGGACUGCACAUGUGUAGGGCUUCAUCUUUACCUUAAAAAAAAAAGAACUUUUCAAAAAGAAAUGUUUAGACAUUUAUUUAAAGUUAAUUUGAUAUACAGUUCAAGGCAAUAUAUGUACUGCAUCUGUAAAAUGACUUGUGGCUCAAAAUGAAAGAAAACAAAUCAAGCAUGCUUGAUGAUGUGUGAUGAAUGAUGAAUAAUGCUCUGACAGUUUUGUAUAUUGAUUAAGGUUCCCCUCGGUUUACACCUUGAAUGCUGGAAGUGCAGGCUGCAGGAAUUUGAAGAAGAAGCAACUACCACCGAAGAUAACUCAUUCAUCUUAGACAUGUUUUAUCAAUGGACAGUCGUCACGCCAGACAGGCAGGGCACAGGACUGCAUGUUAGCUCUGAGGUAACUGAUGACGUUGAUAGAAUUUGAAGGUUCUACCGUAGGAUGUUUACUAUGGAACACACACUGGAUGCAGAGAACACUGAUGUAUCACCAUGACAACGCCAAACCAGGACCCUCCAGUUUAAAACAGUAGUGUAAAAUAUGAACAGGAAACUUCGCAACAAAAUGUUGCAAAAUUCUUGUAAGUUGACAUUUCAACAUGGCAUGGCUUGGAACUUGUUUGAUCCCACUUAAAAUGGAAAGCUUUUUGUGAUUUUACCGUGAUAGCGAUUUCUCUUCAUGCAGACAAUUUGAAGAAUUCUACUCUUAUUGAUGUAAUGUUGGGAUAUUUCUUAUUCUAAUAUAAAAGUACUUCUGAUGCUGCCUAGUAUUUCCUUUUGGUAUUCUACCUUUCUAUUUCUAAACAUUCAGUUCUAACUUUUAAGGAUUUUUUUUUCACUGAUUAUUCAUCUCAGUCUUAAUACUCUGUAGUGUUUUGGGUUAGAGAAAGUAUAUAUUCUCAUUAUUGUCAGUCAACUCGUCACUUUUGUUGAAAUAUGAUGCAACAAUUUUUUUGUCUGCCAUUAAACCUUUUGUAAAAAUAUUUGGUGAAAUACUUGUCGAGCUUUGUUUUUUUUUUAGUGAUUUUAGCUUUUGUUUUUCAAUAAAGCUUAAAUAAGUCUGUGUUUGAACUGAAAAUAAAUGUCUCAUUUUGUCAGUU